UCAAGGACCUGAGAAUUCUACCAUCUUCCCGGCCUGCCACUGACCCUCAGAGCCCACACCCCAUCGCUACUGCCUCUGCAGGCAUCGGCACAGCAGAAGCUUCCAGCCAAUCAACUGCCUUGAUGCCUUACUGAUCUACAUCCAGGUCAAGGAUUCUACAGACGGGGUCAAAGAUCCCGUUGCCAAGGAGACGGAGCUGGGGCAGGGUGGUGGCAGCCUUGGGAUGCAGCUGGCUGGGGACCUGACAACCAGAGGAAGCUGUGGACUUUGAGGUUUGUUUAUGCAUACUUAAUAGAGUUAAUAUGCAUGCUGGCAGCUGGAUCAAACUGGGCCCGCUUAACAUCCUGCAUGUGGAGAGUUUGCGUCAGCAUGGACUUCACGCGGGAAAGCGUCACCAGCAGCACCACCACAGCCACCGGGUCGCCAUGGAAACCGCUGAGAGACACGUCGAGGGUGAGAGAUGGAGAGAGAAAGAGGGACAACGAGGGACACGGAGAGAGAGAAAGGGGGACAUGAAAGGUUAGGGUGUAGCCACAUGCCCCCCUGAAAAAAGAAAUAAAAAAACUCCCCACACCCCUUCACCUACCCCACCCAACCUCACCUCUAACCCCUCCACCCUUCAGUUUAAUGCU